rnacentral:tRNA from 1 species
CCAUGGUGUAAUGGUGAGCACUCUGGACUCUGAAUCCAGCAAUCUGAGUUCAAAUCUUAGUGG